GCAGGGACAGCUCAGUUGGUAUAGCAUGAAACUCCUCAUCUCAAGGUCGUGAGUUCGAACCCCACAUUGGGCA